CAGUAGCCGCGGUAAUACGUAGGGUGCAAGCGUUAAUCGGAAUUACUGGGCGUAAAGCGUGCGCAGGCGGUUUGUUAAGACAGAUGUGAAAUCCCCGGGCUCAACCUGGGAACUGCAUUUGUGACUGGCAAGCUAGAGUGUGGCAGAGGGGGGUGGAAUUCCGCGUGUAGCAGUGAAAUGCGUAGAUAUGCGGAGGAACACCGAUGGCGAAGGCAGCCCCCUGGGCCAACACUGACGCUCAUGCACGAAAGCGUGGGGAGCAAACAGGAUUAGAUACCCGCGUAGUCCCUGUCUCUUAUAC
rnacentral:rRNA from 1 species